UGGUGCAUGGGGCGAGCCUGACGGAGCACGCCGCGUGAGGGAUGAAGGCCUCUGGGCUGUAAACCUCUUUUAUCAAGGAAGAAGAUCUGACGGUACUUGAUGAAUAAGCCACGGCUAAUUCCGUGCCAGCAGCCGCGGUAAUACGGGAGUGGCAAGCGUUAUCCGGAAUUAUUGGGCGUAAAGCGUCCGCAGGCGGCCCUUCAAGUCUGCUGUUAAAAAGUGGAGCUUAACUCCAUCAUGGCAGUGGAAACUGUUGGGCUUGAGUGUGGUAGGGGCAGAGGGAAUUCCCGGUGUAGCGGUGAAAUGCGUAGAUAUCGGGAAGAACACCAGUGGCGAAGGCGCUCUGCUGGGCCAUCACUGACGCUCAUGGACGAAAGCCAGGGGAGCGAAAGGGAUUAGAUACCCCUGUAGUCCUGGCCGUAAACGAUGAACACUAGGUGUCGGGGGAAUCGACCCCCUCGGUGUCGUAGCCAACGCGUUAAGUGUUCCGCCUGGGGAGUACGCACGCAAGUGUGAAACUCAAAGGAAUUGACGGAUG
rnacentral:rRNA from 1 species